rnacentral:rRNA from 1 species
UACGUAGGGUGCAAGCGUUGUCCGGAAUUAUUGGGCGUAAAGAGCUUGUAGGCGGUUUGUCGCGUCUGCUGUGAAAUUUCGGGGCUCAACCCCGAACUUGCAGUGGGUACGGGCAGACUAGAGUGUGGUAGGGGAGACUGGAAUUCCUGGUGUAGCGGUGAAAUGCGUAGAUAUCUGGAGGAAUACCGGUGGCGAAGGCGGCAUCCUGGACCAAUACUGACGCUGAGGCGCGAAAGCUAGGGGAGCAAACGGG